rnacentral:rRNA from 1 species
ACUCCUGCGGGAGGCAGCAGUGGGGAAUUUUGGACAAUGGGCGAAAGCCUGAUCCAGCAAUGCCGCGUGUGUGAAGAAGGCCUUCGGGUUGUAAAGCACUUUUGUCCGGAAAGAAAUCCUUGGCUCUAAUACAGUCGGGGGAUGACGGUACCGGAAGAAUAAGCACCGGCUAACUACGUGCCAGCAGCCGCGGUAAUACGUAGGGUGCGAGCGUUAAUCGGAAUUACUGGGCGUAAAGCGUGCGCAGGCGGUUUGCUAAGACCGAUGUGAAAUCCCCGGGCUCAACCUGGGAACUGCAUUGGUGACUGGCAGGCUAGAGUAUGGCAGAGGGGGGUAGAAUUCCACGUGUAGCAGUGAAAUGCGUAGAGAUGUGGAGGAAUACCGAUGGCGAAGGCAGCCCCCUGGGCCAAUACUGACGCUCAUGCACGAAAGCGUGGGGAGCAAACAGGAUUAGAUACCCUUGUAGUCCC